UCAUCCUUUCGAGGAAAUCGGAUG
rnacentral:siRNA from 1 species